CGCAUCUGUGCAUGCAGCAUAUCAAUAAGCGGAGGAAAAGAAACUAACAAGGAUUCCCCUAGUAACGGCGAGUGAAGCGGGAAGAGCUCAAAUUUGAAAUCUUAAAGGGUUUCCCUUUACGAAUUGUAGUUUAAAGAAGUGUUUUCUGUUGAGGUUUUGGUAAAAGUUCUUUGGAAUAGGACAUCAUAGAGGGUGAGAAUCCCGUAUUUGACCUUUACUUUCAACUUUGUGAUACACUUUCAAAGAGUCGGAUUGUUUGGGAAUGCAGUCCAAAAUGGGUGGUAAAUUUCAUCUAAAGCUAAAUAUUGGCGAGAGACCGAUAGCGAACAAGUACCGUGAGGGAAAGAUGAAAAGAACUUUGAAAAGAGAGUUAAACAGUACGUGAAAUUGUCAAAAGGGAAGCGUUUGACACCAGUGUUGUUUUUCUGAAAAUCAAUUAAAGAACUGUUUAUGCUAAGUUGUUUAGACUUUAUCAGCUAACUGUUUAGUUUUGAGCUUUUCUUUAAUGCACUUUUCAGUUAACAAGUCAACAUCAAUUUCUUUUGCUGUAAAAAAGCUUGAGGAGGGUGGCUUGAGAUUCGUCUUAAGUGUUUAUAGCCUCUUGCCUAUGCAGUCGGAGAGAUUGAGGUCUGCAGCGUAGAUCCUUCGGGGCUAAAUGCAUUUGUGCCUAAGUUAUAGCAUUUUAUAGACAACUUGUUGACUAUGAUUUGUCUUGUAGCUUACUCGCUUAUGUUAUUUUACCUACGCUUAGGAUGUUGAACGCGCACAGAGUCUC
rnacentral:rRNA from 1 species